CACCCCUUUAAAUGGGGGAGGAUUUAGGAUCCUGUAUCUAGUUUGCGUCGCGCCAGGCUAACGACCGUCGGAAUGAAAAUGCCGUCUUCUUUACGUAACAUCGCGCUGAUUUCAAUUGUACCGUUUUUUCUUGCAUCGUAUUUUGGAGAGGUGUCAGCUGAAGGGGAUGGACGAGGGUUUGGUGACCACAUUCACUGGCGGAGCCUUGAGGAUGGGAAGAAGGAGGCUGAAGCAAGUGGACUGCCUCUGAUGGUGAUUAUUCACAAGACUUGGUGUGGUGCAUGUAAAGCACUGAAGCCCAAGUUUGCUGAAUCGAAAGAGAUCUCGGAGUUGGCCCACAACUUUAUCCUGGUUAACUUGGAGGAUGAAGAGGAGCCAAAAGAUGAGAGCUUCAGUCCAGAUGGCGGUUACAUUCCUAGAAUACUUUUUCUUGAUCCCACUGGUAAUGUCCACUCUGAAAUCACAAACAAGAAUGGGAAUCCCAACUACAAGUACUUUUACAGCAAUGCAGAUCAAGUUGUGACUAGCAUGAAGGAAGCUCAAGAGAAGCUGACUGGUAAUGCCUUCAGGACGGCUCACAUUGGAGAUGAACUGUAAGAAGGUUAACAUGGAAAGAUCUCAGCCAAUACACUAAUUCAUUCCACUGGCCACACUAGAUUCAUCUCCAACCUCAACUUCUGUCAUUUCAUUUGAACUACUGUGGCACAAGAUUAGCUUCAAAAGUGAAGGAAUUCAGAAUGCAUCUACAAUGUACUUUUCAAGCUUACAAGUUAUAUUCUUCAGGUUGAAAACCUAAUAACAUGGUAUAGACCCUGAACUGCGUCCACAAGGCACAUUAAGAAACGCCCCAAACACACCAAUAAAGCAAUUCCAUGUGCUUCCAAGCCUUAUCUUGCAAGCUGCAGUGCAACAGAUCUAGUUAGCCAUUUUGGAGGCCUUAUAAUACACAAACUUUACCUGCUUCGAAACCAAGCAUUGGGUUAGGUUUUUAUGAGCUCAGCAGUCCUGCUAUGUUAAGAUUCAAAAUGUUAACUAUUUCUUAACUUGUAUUUAGUCCUCAAUAUAUGGAGUUGCUUUUUGGUUUUUAAAGACACAUUUUUACUAUAGACCUGUGAAUGAAAACCUUUUAAUGUAAACUGGAAUUUCUUGUUUUUCAUAAUUUGUUUCUUCUUUUUGGAUUGAGGGAAUUGUCGUUGCCAUACUGUAUUUUUUACCAAUAUUUAAAACAAGACAAAUAAAGUUGAUACAAAAUAUUGUAUGGUUAUUUCAGUGUUAGCUGAAAGCUAACAACACUGUAGACAUGCCUACAGUUGUAUCGGUCACUGGGUCCCCACAGUCAUGAAAACCAUUUUUUAUUUACUUUUUCUAGACCUGAAAAAUAAUGUCAAUUUUAUAUAGUUAUGCUCCGCACUAAUAUAUUUUAUUGCUUGAAAUUGCUUUUUGCGAAGACAAUCUAAAAAUAAAGUACAUUUAUUUGAAAGUCAUGAAAAUUAUUUGGUGUAAAGGUGUGGGGACCCUGUAGU